CUGAUUAAGUCUGUAGGACAGACUCCACUUUGUUGUUGUUGUUGUUUUAAAAAGGCAGUGUGUGUGCAAGCAAAAAGAGGCGUUGGAGCGUUCCCUCUCUACGUACAUGCAGGACACAUCCAUGGCAGAGCACAGUGCCAGAAGUAUUCAUCUCCCACAAGCUCCUUGUGGCCGAUCCACCACCUGUGGGUUCUGCAACACAGCUGUACUUAUUCUCUUCCUACCAAUGGGAAUAUGGCACAGAGGCAUGGAAAGGCAGUUGUGAUUAUAGGGAUGGACUGGAAGCUGGGACUUCACAUGGCAGUUACAGUUGGGAUGAGUGGAGAGUAACUGAAAUUAAACGUGGAGGGGCUUUACCAAGGAAAUCAUCAGCCUGCUGUUAGACAGAGGUGGGCUAGGAGAUGUCAGCCCAGAGUUACAGUUGCAUCUUGCUCCGGCUGCCAAAGACAGGAGCAGUUAGGGCAGUUGGGGAUGGGUGCAAAGAUGCCCCAGGUUGCCACUGGCGACACCGUUAUGAAGUCACUCCAGGGUUCCGGCCGUGGCAACGAGCCCACCAAGAGCAACAAACGCCUCUGCGCAGUGCUCCUGCUCUUGCCAGGCUCUGCAAGUUGACAGAGCUGACCAACAGCCGGCUUUGCUGCUGCCGAGAGUGGCAGACAGCCUGCAGGGCACAAGGAACAAGAGGCAUCUCGAAACAGAGGCUUUGGGAAAGCCGUCCGUUGGGCGAUGUUUGCCUGGAGGGCAGAAGACUUCUCAGCCCAGCCAAGGGCACAGAGAGCCAUCCCCCAGCCUGUGCCAGCCUUCCAGCUGCAAGAGACUGCUCACGGCACUGAUGGC
ensembl:lncRNA